AGUGAACGCUGGCGGCGUGCUUAAGACAUGCAAGUCGAACGCAGUCUUCGGACUGAGUGGCGCACGGGUGAGUAACACGUAACUGACCUACCCCCAAGUCGCGAAUAACCAGCCGAAAGGAUGGCUAAUACGUGAUGUGAUGAUCCGCUGUGGCGGAUCAUUAAAGACUUGAUCGCUUGGGAUGGGGUUGCGUUCCAUCAGCUAGUUGGUAAGGUAAAGGCUUACCAAGGCAACGACGGAUAGCCGGCCUGAGAGGGUGGCCGGCCACAGGGCACUGAGACACGGGUCCCACUCCUACGGGAGGCAGCAGUUAGGAAUCUUCCACAAUGGGCGCAAGCCUGAUGGAGCGACGCCGCGUGAGGGAUGAAGGUUCUCGGAUCGUAAACCUCUGAACCAACGACGAAAGACCCGACAAGGGAGAUGACGGUAGUUGGGUAAUAGCACCGGCUAACUCCGUGCCAGCCGCCGCCGUAAUAC
rnacentral:rRNA from 1 species